ACAGUACAAACUGAGCAGGCCGAUUGGAGCCGGGCCGUCUUGACGGCAGCAGAGCGACUUACGUCUCUGCGGGACAGU
rnacentral:ncRNA from 1 species